UAGAUACAACCUAUAUUCUCUCACAAACCGAGAUGAAAUGAUUAGAUUUUCAACUCUAGCGAGCAAUUACACUUGGUGGCAAAAUGGAACUCACCUUAAUCUCAAACCCAACUUCAAUGCCACUGAACCAUGGCAUGCUUCAAUCCUCCAAAAGCUCAAACAACCAAAACCUAUACAACAAUUACAUGCACACAUUAUAAUAUCUGGUCUUUCUCAUAAUACACGUCUUUGUAACAGAUUAAUGAAUUCAUAUGCAUCAUGUCAAAUCAUAACAGAAUCCCACAAAAUAUUUUCUUUAAUAGAGCACAAAAGCUUGGUUUCUUGGACAAUAUUAAUAAAUGGGUUUACAAAGAAUGGCCUUUUUCUUGAAGCUAUUGAGACGUUUAGACAAAUGGUUAAUUGUGGGUUAAUGCCUAAUGCAAUAACAAUUUCAAGUAUUUUACCUGCUAUUGGUAAAUUAAGAUUGACUUUGAUAGGAAAAUCACUUCAUUGUUAUUGUGUUAAGCAAAUGUAUCAAUAUAAUGUGUUUGUUCAAAGUGCAUUAGUCCAUAUGUACUCGAAAUUGGGGUGUCCGAUUGAUGCCCGAUACGUGUUUGAUAGUAUGUCUGAAAGCAAUGUUGUGUCGUGGAACGCGAUUAUUUUUGCUUAUUCCAGUAAUGGUUUGGUUGAGGAAGCAAUUGAAGUAUUCAAUUUAAUGAGAAGGAGGUUGUCAGUGGAUACAUUUACAAUAAUGAGUUUGGUUUCUGCUGAUUUUGGCGUUGGGGAUUUACAAAUAGUUACUCAAAUCCAUGGUUUAGUAGUUAGAUUAGGUCAUGUUAACGGCCAACGUGUUGAAACUCGUCUAAUAGAGAUGUAUAUUGAUGUAAAUUGUGUUGACGAUGCUUACUAUAUAUUUUGUGAUAUGCCUGUAAAAGAUGUAGUUGUUUGGACAUCGAUGUUAACAGGGUUUGUAAAGAGUGGAAACUGGAGUAUGGCCGUGGAACAUUUCAAUCGGAUGAUGGCCACAGAAGAGUUGGAACUUGAUUCUGUUGCUCUGAUAGGUAUCCUUUCAGGAUGCAGCAGUUCAGGAGCUUUGCAGCAAGGCCGGAGGGUGCAUGCAUUGGUAAUAAAAUUUGGUUUUGAAGGCGAUACUUUUUUGGGAUCAUCUAUAAUAGACAUGUAUGCAAAUUGUGCUAAGUUGGGUGAUGCAAGAAGAUUUUUUGAAGGGAUGGCUGAGAAAGAUGCUGCAUGCUGGAAUGCACUGAUUGCUGGUAACGGGAUGCAUGGGUACGGUAAUAAUGCAAUAGACCUUUUCCUGAAGAUGAAGGAUUUAGGUAUAGAUCCAAAUGAGUCAACUUUGGUUUCUGUCUUGAGCGCUUGCGGUCAUGCUGGGUUGGUUGAUCAAGGAUUGUAUAUUUUUGACAAUAUGGUAGCAAGAUGGAACCUUUUUCCCAAUCAAAAGCACUAUGCAUGUGUUGUUGACCUUCUUGGACGUGCAGGGAGAUUAAAUGAUGCUUACUCAGUAAUUAGGUACAUGCAUUUGCAACCAGGUCUGGAUGUUUAUGGUGCCUUGCUUGGUGCUUGUAAAGCUCAUGGGAAUAUUGAGCUAGGUGUUGAGGUAUCACAGAGGCUUCUCGAGUUGAAGCCACGUGAUGCAGGAUAUUAUAUACUUCUCUCAAAUAUUUAUGCUAUGUCUGGAAAUUCGGAGGGUGUAAAGUCAACCAGAUUGUUGCUCAGAUCAAAAACUUUGAAGAAAGAUCCAGGCCUGAGCUCAAUCGAGAUAAACGGAGCAGUUUACACAUUUAUGGCAAGCGAAAAGGAUCAUCCACUAUAUCCUGAAAUCUCUAGGUUUCUGAAGGACUUAAUCUUCAGAAUACAAGAAGAAGGAUAUGUGCCUGAUUUAAAGUCUGUUUAUCAGGAUGUGGCAGAUGAUCUGAAAAAGAAUAUUCUUUAUCACCAUAGUGAGAAGUUGGCCAUUGCUUUUGGAUUGAUGAGAACAAAACCAGGAACAAUCAUACGGGUGACAAAAAAUCUCCGAGCAUGCAAUGAUUGCCACUCUUCAAGUAAGUAUAUCUCCAAAGUUUUCGGAAGAACGCUUGUCAUCAAGGACAAAAAUCGCUUUCAUGUUUUCCAUGGUGGGAACUGCUCAUGUGGCGACUAUUGGUGACACUGUACUCUGAUUAAUCAACAUUAACUUAUACCACGAAGCCACCUCAUCUAAAAAUCUUUAAGAGUAAUUUAUACUACUCAGUUUUGACGUUUGCAUGCAAACCGAAUGGUGGAGAAUUUCAAAUGGACCAUGACAUCAAACAGCAUCAACUUAUCCUCAAAUGAUUCUGACCAGGUAGCAAAAUCUUUCAGAAAAACUCUCUGAAAUCCACUUAUUGGAAGAGAACUACUCCGACUAUCUGCUUUUAUGGGACACCAUUUGAUUGGUUACAGAUUUUAAGAUAUUAGUUUGACUUGUGUAUAUAUGAAUUAUAGUGGAAAAGUAAUUUUUGAAGGAAUGGCCGUCACGUCAUAUAAAAAAGAAUGUCGUAUAAGUUGGAAAGGACACAUGUAGUAUAAUAGGCACACAUAAGAAAGACCACAAAGAGCUUCCCUAUGUAGAUGUAUAAUUGUUAAGAGGCAUUUACUGUGCUAAUUAGGAAUAUGACUGAGAAGGUAAUACACCAUAAGGACAUAACAUGUUGCAACAGGAGCCCUUUUAUAUUCUGCUUCUACCUGUAGCAUGUAAGACCUUGAAAAUGGACAAUUCAUCUAAUUCCUUUUACUCGUUAUAGUUAGUAAACACGCUGAAACAUUUGACUACCUAUAAAGUAUUUUCAGUUAUUGAUAUCGACAAGAUGGUUGUAUACCUACUAGUUGAAACAAGGACAAUAUGGAAUUACGCAACUUAUUAUUUAAUGGGACAAUACUUAUCAAGUCCUCAAGGAGGAGAGAUGAUGCUCAAAGAUGCUUUGAAAUGUUUGGGAGUUCUUAUUGACUUCUCUCUGAGAUAACUACUUAAAUUUAGAAGAUUCUUUUUUAUGUAUUAGAAGACUAGAUACCAGAGAGAGACAUAGUUUUUGGUGAUAUUGUGUGCUUGUGAUGUGGAGCAACCUAUGACUUACAGAGGUGAUGUUUUCAUUAGGAAAGUUUGAUGAAAAUCAUAGCGCCGAAUUGAAAUUGUAUGAGGUUGUUUUAAUAAAACACUGACACUCUAUGGGGUUGUAUGGUAAUUGACACAAGAGAAGAUUAUAGUAGAAAACAAGUUAGUGGUGAAAUACUCAUUGCAUGAAAAUAAAUGACAAUUUGACAACAUUUAGGGUAGACAGUUUGCGCUAAUGCAAGGUACUUCCUCUCAGACGUGAUGAAUGGAUAAAACUGCUUGAAAUGAAUCUAAAGUCUUUAUGCGUUUUCAAGUUGCAUAUAAUGGACCUGCUAAAGAUUUACUGAUUUAAAAAAAGAACCUUCUAAAGAUGUCAGCUAAGGCUCAACAAGAUCUAAAGGUGUCAGCUGAAUUUGAAUUCUGAAUGCGUGAUGGGUACAAUAAAAUCUGUUAUAUUGAGAUAUCUUGAACAUAAGCUAUAUCUCAUGAAAAAAGUGAUAGAAGGAGCGGCAAUGGAUUUCUUUUCCUUUGUCUUAUCUUGGUGGCUGCCAUAGUUCUGAAUGGCUGUUAUAUGCUUGACAGUAUGUAGUCAUUCGCCGUUACAGGGUAAACCUGGUUAGUUAUUUCUCUUUGAGAGUUUGAGGGUAGAUUCCCAAGUUCUUAAAUAGUACAAUCUAGUUAACUUCUAAAAGGUCCUUAAUUACUAGCCGGUAACCAGUUCAAGGAGAAAGGUUUUGGGCAGUUUUUGAAGUGUUCUUUUGAUGUAGAAGCAAUGUUCGAGUAAGUGUUUGGCUAUUUGCAAGGCGUAGCUAAAUCCAUUCAUUCUCCUUGUUGAAGAUUAAUGAAGGAAAAGUACCUAAAGAUCGUAUUGCUUUGCGGAUGCUGGCAUAAGAGAUGACUUCUUAGCCUAAUUUGGAGGUACUACUGUAGCUUUGAGCACUGCGAGACAAGAUUUGACACUUCAUAACUGAUGGUAAAUGUUCAAGUUUCAGCUUCCAUUCUGUGAUAGUACUAAGGUUCCACUACAGUGGGCUUAGCAAACAUAUAUUUUUCCUUUUCUUUUUGCCUUUUGAAAUAUAUAUGUUCAUAUCAGACAUAGAAAAACUUCAUAAUUUUCUCCUGUCAGACUUCCAUUUGUAGCUUGACUAGACCAACAAAGACAAGACGAUAUUUUGUUAAGACUUGAAGAUCAUUUUCAUUAGACUGGAUAUAUGCGUGGUGUAUGCAGAAAAGGAAAAGGAAAAUAGAAGGUAGUCAAACAUAAGCAGGGUUUACAACCACUGCCUCAUGAGACAUGUUAUGCGGCUUUUUAUUUUCUAUCUUCUUUUGAGUAACACUCAUUGCAACUGUUAAUCAGCCAAACAUAAAUGACUGUAUACCGGCCACAGUCAGAGAUUUGUUUCAAAUAGAGAGGAAUAUAGAUGUUCAAGCCAGUCUUUGCAUCGGUUAGGAUUGUAAAUUCGUUAUUUGGAUUGAAACACCGUUUGUAGGUUGUUAUAAAGUUUCUUUCCAUAUGUUUCAGUUAAAAUAAAAUGACAUGGAUAAGAAGGACAAGGAGUUUUUUUUUUUUUUUUUUCCCUUCUCAAAAAAAAUCUCAAUUCGGCCUAAGAUUUGAGAUUUCAAUUAAUCAAACAUCGGCAUCCCAAGUUCUUAAAAGUGUUUUUGGAUUAGUAAUGUAAAGGUUUCACAAUAUACUAUCCGAAAGCAAACUUUUGAACUGACCAACUCAAUGGUGCUCAAAGUCAAAUAUGCCAAUCUAAAAGCGAAAUUCUGUUAAAUGAAUUUUUGUCUACAACAGUAAAAUGAUGGCUUAGUUUUCUACCUUUAUUUCAGGGUGGUUUUAAGUCUUUUUGAAAGACAUUCUAAGUAGUGUUCAGAUCAAACCUUUUGGAUCCCAUUACUAGCUUUUUCUAUGUUAUAAGCUUUCAUUUGACCUUUCACAUUGGCUAUAUUUACAGAUCAUACUUAUUCUUUUCCAUCCCCGGAUCUAUAUCAGAUCUUUGAUUUAGUGGCUUCAUAUUCUUAUAUACUAUGCUUGAGUAAUGGCACUGGGUCUGGUAUCACCAUCAACCAACUAAUGGUCAUGCACCAGUCAUGUCGGAUUCAGCUUGAAGCCUUGAAGUAAAACAGACCUAGCAAAUCCCCGCAUGCAAAAGCCAAAGAGACACCGGUGUCAAUCCAAAAGUGGAUGCCAUGCGGCUCAACAUGGACUGGGAUUCAGCUGCAGUGAUUGAGGAGGCUGAUGAGAGUGAUGACCCCUGAAGUUUCUGCAGCUUUGGGAUAUGAAGCUCCGUACUUAGUCUCUUUGAGCUGAUUCUGUUUUAUAAUUCCCUCCAGUGAAAGUUUUGCCACUUUUGUAUUUGUAAGUAGUUUGCAUACAUGAUUUUAUCCAUUGCAAUUAAAACCUAUUUCUCGAAUAUUAGUGAGUUUGGUGUUAUACCAAUAAUUUAGUUAUAAUCUUCUGAUGCUCGUGGGAAGGAUUUUUUUUUCAUCUGCCUAAAUCUUUGUGGAUAUAGUUAUCCGGUACCUGCACAAGUGGGAAGUAACAAGUACUCAAUGGACUAGUCGAGGUUUGCGAAAGCACCCAGACACCAUCAUUAUCAAAAUUAAAAAUUAUGAUGGUCAUGUAACAAAACAACUGUCUGCGUUUCAUUUUGCAUGUUCUCUGGGAAUGGGUACUUGGAUUGGCUAAAUCUCUUUCUUGGCAGUGUUGGAGCAUUGUUGUCUCUUUCUUGUGUUUUAUAUGCCUACAUUCUGCUAUUCUCCAUGCUUUGGUUGGUUAUAUACUUCCAAGCAACCGUGUGCCCGCACGUUCACUUCAUUAUUUAACUUGUUUGAGGUCCAAACUCAUGAGUGAAGUUGACUUAAUUUGGGAAAAUCUUGAUGU